AGAGUUUGAUCCUGGCUCAGAUUGAACGCUGGCGGCAUGCUUUACACAUGCAAGUCGGACGGCAGCACAGAGAAGCUUGCUUCUUGGGUGGCGAGUGGCGAACGGGUGAGUAACAUAUCGGAACGUACCGAGUAGUGGGGGAUAACUGAUCGAAAGAUCAGCUAAUACCGCAUACGUCUUGAGAGAGAAAGCAGGGGACCUUUGGGCCUUGCGCUAUUCGAGCGGCCGAUAUCUGAUUAGCUGGUUGGUGGGGUAAAGGCCUACCAAGGCGACGAUCAGUAGCGGGUCUGAGAGGAUGAUCCGCCACACUGGGACUGAGACACGGCCCAGACUCCUACGGGAGGCAGCAGUGGGGAAUUUUGGACAAUGGGCGCAAGCCUGAUCCAGCCAUGCCGCGUGUCUGAAGAAGGCCUUCGGGUUGUAAAGGACUUUUGUCAGGGAAGAAAAGGCUGUUGCUAAUAUCAGCGGCUGAUGACGGUACCUGAAGAAUAAGCACCGGCUAACUACGUGCCAGCAGCCGCGGUAAUACGUAGGGUGCGAGCGUUAAUCGGAAUUACUGGGCGUAAAGCGGGCGCAGACGGUUACUUAAGCAGGAUGUGAAAUCCCCGGGCUCAACCCGGGAACUGCGUUCUGAACUGGGUGACUCGAGUGUGUCAGAGGGAGGUAGAAUUCCACGUGUAGCAGUGAAAUGCGUAGAGAUGUGGAGGAAUACCGAUGGCGAAGGCAGCCUCCUGGGACAACACUGACGUUCAUGCCCGAAAGCGUGGGUAGCAAACAGGAUUAGAUACCCUGGUAGUCCACGCCCUAAACGAUGUCAAUUAGCUGUUGGGCAACUUGAUUGCUUAGUAGCGUAGCUAACGCGUGAAAUUGACCGCCUGGGGAGUACGGUCGCAAGAUUAAAACUCAAAGGAAUUGACGGGGACCCGCACAAGCGGUGGAUGAUGUGGAUUAAUUCGAUGCAACGCGAAGAACCUUACCUGGUCUUGACAUGUACGGAAUCCUCCAGAGACGGAGGAGUGCCUUCGGGAGCCGUAACACAGGUGCUGCAUGGCUGUCGUCAGCUCGUGUCGUGAGAUGUUGGGUUAAGUCCCGCAACGAGCGCAACCCUUGUCAUUAGUUGCCAUCAUUCAGUUGGGCACUCUAAUGAGACUGCCGGUGACAAGCCGGAGGAAGGUGGGGAUGACGUCAAGUCCUCAUGGCCCUUAUGACCAGGGCUUCACACGUCAUACAAUGGUCGGUACAGAGGGUAGCCAAGCCGCGAGGCGGAGCCAAUCUCACAAAACCGAUCGUAGUCCGGAUUGCACUCUGCAACUCGAGUGCAUGAAGUCGGAAUCGCUAGUAAUCGCAGGUCAGCAUACUGCGGUGAAUACGUUCCCGGGUCUUGUACACACCGCCCGUCACACCAUGGGAGUGGGGGAUACCAGAAGUAGGUAGGGUAACCGCAAGGAGUCCGCUUACCACGGUAUGCUUCAUGACUGGGGUGAAGUCGUAACAAGGUAGCCGUAGGGGAACCUGCGGCUG
rnacentral:rRNA from 1 species